AUUGAACGCUGGCGGCAGGCCUAACACAUGCAAGUCGAACGAGUGGCGGACGGGUGAGUAAUGUCUGGGAAACUGCCUGAUGGAGGGGGAUAACUACUGGAAACGGUAGCUAAUACCGCAUACCAUCAGAUGUGCCCAUAUGGGAUUAGAUUGUGGGUGGGGUAACGGCUCACCAAGGCGACGAUCCCUAGCUGGUCUGAGAGGAUGACCAGCAACAAUGGAACUGAGCCACGGUCCCGACUCCUCCGGGGUGCAGCAGUGGGGAAUAUUGCACAAUGGGCGCAAGCCUGAUGCAGCCAUGCCGCGUGUAUGAAGAAGGCCUUCGGGUUGUAAAGUACUUUCAGCGGGGAUGCGUUACCCGCAGAAGAAGCACCGGCUAACUCCGUGCCAGCAGCCGCGGUAAUUC
rnacentral:rRNA from 1 species